AACAACUCUGCAGGACAACAAGGUGGCUGUUACUCCAGCCAGGGGGCAGAGCUGUGCACGCACUUAGGGGAAGAUAUGCAACCAACAGCAUCACUCACCACAACCCAGUGCUCAGAAACGAGCCCGAUUUGUGUCUUUUUUUACAUGUGACUUUAUGAAUUACAUUCAUUCCACAGCUGGACUUUCAGCUACUAGUAAUAACAACAAUAAUAAUAAUAAUGAAAGUGAAAUUCAGGAAUCCUCAGGGGAGAAUAAUUUAUUUGUUUUUCAUCUGCACACACACAACUCUUGCUGUUACAGAUUCUGCCCAUUAAAGCUUUGAUUUCUAAGUGCAGUGGUAAACUCUAAUCCAGUGAAACUAUUUUCACAAUGAAAGUAGGAACAUAAACCCCAAAUACUGAGCCUUGUAUUAGAAUUAUCCUUUUAUGAAUCCCUACAUAGAAGGAAGUUGGUCUCAAGAUAAAAAUGGCCUUGGCUGUUGGUUUCCACUUCAUUUGUGAUGCUUCUGUGAACAUUUGCUCACAGUGUAGAGCAGGUGAAGUUUUUCAGACUUUCACAUAUUGCUAUUUAAGCUUCAGAUGGUCUCAAUACAAGAGUCAAGCCUGAACAUACCUCAUAUAUUGUGAAGUUAAAAUCUGAACCUAGAUUUAAGUUUUGUGGCUUGCCUAUCUCUAAUUCAAAGAGGUCUGGUCAAAAGUAGAAUUGCCAGAGUGAAGAAAACUUUUCCUUGUGUCAGAAAUCCCCACUAUCUUGGAUGCUCUCUCUUUCAGGACAUUCUCGGUGGAGAGCUGAGAUAUUUACUGAAGCUUUCUAAUGCACUUCAAGAGAAAACUACAUCUAUUUAUGUAGAUAGCACACCUAUCUGCUCUGCCAUUCACAGAAAACUUCCCAGAGCCUCUAGUAAUGCAGGAAAAUGCUAUGUGUAUCUGCACCUCUAAUGAGCAGCAUGUCAUCAUAUGUACAAUAUAUGCAGAUUUGAAAACACCAGGUAUUUUAUUCCCUGUGUACUCCACCUUUCAACGCCUACAAACUCUCACUGUGUACACCUUUUGGAGCUAUUGUGUUCUAGAGUUGCUGCAGUUUGUUGAAGAGCAGGACAUGAUCUGUUCUCAGACUUGACUUUUGUUCUUUCCUAAACUUUUUAUUAAA